GACGGAGGGGGCUAGCGUUGUUCGGAAUUACUGGGCGUAAAGCGCGCGUAGGCGGCUUUGCAAGUCAGUGGUGAAAGCCUGGAGCUCAACUCCAGAACUGCCUUUGAAACUGCAUCGCUAGAAUCAUGGAGAGGUUAGUGGAAUUCCGAGUGUAGAGGUGAAAUUCGUAGAUAUUCGGAAGAACACCAGUGGCGAAGGCGACUAACUGGACAUGUAUUGACGCUGAGGUGCGAAAGCGUGGGGAGCAAACAGG
rnacentral:rRNA from 1 species